UUCUUCCUGUUUCUUGUUUGUGAUCCCUUGACCAGCUGACUACCUGAUUUGGCUUUCUGUGACUCCUGGAAAGUAUUUGGACUAGGCUAUUGCUUUUUGGACUCUAAUGACACUUUUCAGGCAAGCACUCUCUGGUUUAGAUGAAGAAAGAGUCUACUUCUGAAAGAAAAACCU